rnacentral:rRNA from 1 species
UACAGGGGGUGCAAACGUUGCUCGGAAUUAUUGGGCGUAAAGCGCGCGUAGGCGGCUACUUAAGUCGGAUGUGAAAGCCCUUGGCUCAACUGAGGAAGUGCACCCGAAACUGAGUGGCUUGAGUACUAAAGAGGGUCGCGGAAUUCCCGGUGUAGAGGUGAAAUUCGUAGAUAUCGGGAGGAACACCGGUGGCGAAGGCGGCGACCUGGGUAGAUACUGACGCUGAGGUGCGAAAGCGUGGGGAUCAAACAGG